GAUGAACGCUAGCGGCAGGCCUAAUACAUGCAAGUCGAACGGUGUAGCAAUACACAGUGGCGCACGGGUGCGUAACACGUAUGCAACCUACCUUACAUUGGGGGAUAGCCUUUCGAAAGGGAGAUUAAUACCGCAUAAGACAGUAACUAGGCAUCUAGUAGCUGUUAAAGAUUUAUCGAUGUAAGCUGGGCAUGCGUCCAAUUAGUUAGUUGGCGAGGUAAUGGCUCACCAAGACGAUGAUUGGUAGGGGAACUGAGAGGCCAAUCCCCACACUGGCACUGAGAUACGGGCCAGACUCCUACGGGAGGCAGCAGUAGGGAAUAUUGGGCAAUGGGCGCAAGCCUGACCCAGCCAUGCCGCGUGCAGGAAGAAGGCGUUAUGCGUUGUAAACUGCUUUUAUACAGGAAGAACCGACCCUUGCGAGGGGCAUUGACGGUACCGUAAGAAUAAGCACCGGCUAACUACGUGCCAGCAGCCGCCGUAACAC
rnacentral:rRNA from 1 species